rnacentral:rRNA from 1 species
UACGGAGGGGGCUAGCGUUGUUCGGAAUUACUGGGCGUAAAGCGCACGUAGGCGGAUCAGCAAGUUAGGGGUGAAAUCCCGGGGCUCAACCCCGGAACUGCCUUUAAAACUGUUGGUCUGGAGGUCGAGAGAGGUGAGUGGAAUUCCGAGUGUAGAGGUGAAAUUCGUAGAUAUUCGGAGGAACACCAGUGGCGAAGGCGGCUCACUGGCCCGGUACUGACGCUGAGGCGCGAAAGCGUGGGGAGCAAACAGG